AUAAUUAAAUAGUUUAUAAUAAUAGAAAAAAAAAGCGAAUUGGAGAAAUGAUGCAAACUGUUGUGAUUGUUUUUAAUUAGUGGUAGCAAGAAAGCGAUGUGGUGUAGCGUGUAGAGAUGAUCGAGAGAGCUGCGUCUAAAUUUGUAACAUUCUUAAGUGUCGCAGAUGCACGUGUUGCAAUUAAAAUCCAAAUAUAAAGUUUCGUCACAGCGUACAGCGCAACACGUAAAGAAUGCGACGCAAACGUUACGUAUGCACACUACAAUCUAAAUGCGUUCCAUUUCCUAUCCUCAAACACUGUCUGUCUGUGUGUAUGUGAUAUUGUUAGUUACAUAGUUUACAACAGUAUUUUACAGAUCACCCUGUAUAUAUAUAUAGCAGCGAUCUGCACAGUUGGCAACACUGAAGGCUAGCUGGUAGCCGAGCUGAGAGUUUUCGCAGUUGGCGGCAGUGUCUUGUUAUUGAAACCAAUUGAAACCCGUUCCAACAUGGCAGAGCUCAGUAAACGUAAACAAUUGGGACCGAUGAAUUUCUCGACCGUCGAAGAUAUCGGCCCCCUUGCUGGGGCCUUCCGUAAAGGAAAAUCAUUUAUAAUGGAUUUUUUCCUGAGAUACAUGAAUGUCAAGGUGAGCAUUUCAUUAUUAAUAGCUUAGUCAUUUCCCUACCCGCACACACAAAAAUAUGCAUUCAUCAAAGUUAACUUAUUAACCUGAAAGUGUCAUGUUUGUCACUACUUGACUCUUUAAAAGUCUCCUAUUGUUUUGUCUAUCAUAUUGGAGCUACUUGAUACUCUAAUUGGAACCUUUUCGUAAUUGAACUGGACUC